rnacentral:rRNA from 1 species
GUGCCAGCAGCCGCGGUAAUACGUAGGUGGCAAGCGCUUAUUCCGGAAUUAUCUGGGCGUAAAGCGCGCGUAGGCGGUUCUUUAAGUCUGAUGUGAAAGCCCACGGCUCAACCGUGGAGGGUCAUUGGAAACUGGAAAACUUGAGUGCAGAAGAGGAAAGUGGAAUUCCAUGUGUACGCGGUGAAAUGCGCAGAGAUAUGGAGGAACAGCCAGUGGCGAAGGCGACUUUCNUGGUCUGUAACUGACGCUGAUGUGCGAAAGCGUGGGGAUCAAACAGGAUUAGA